rnacentral:rRNA from 1 species
GAUGAACGCUGGCGGCGUGCCUAAUACAUGCAAGUCGAGCGAACGGACGAGAAGCUUGCGUCUCUGAUGUUAGCGGCGGACGGGUGAGUAACAAGUGGAUAACCUACCUAUAAGACUGGGAGAACUUCGGGAAACCGGAGCUAAUAACGGAUAAUAUUUUGAACCGCAUGGUUCAAAAGUGAAAGACGGUCUUGCUGUCACUUAUAGAUGGAUCCGCGCUGCAUUAGCUAGUUGGUAAGGUAACGGCUUACCAAGGCAACGAUGCAUAGCCGACCUGAGAGGAUGAUCGGCCACACUGGAACUGAGACACGGUCCAGACUCCUACGGGAGGCAGCAGUAGGGAAUCUUCGGCAAUGGGCGAAAGCCUGACGGAGCAACGCCGCGUGAGUGAUGAAGGUCUUCGGAUCGUAAAGCUCUGUUAUUAGGGAAGAACAUAUGUGUAAGUAACUGUGCACAUCUUGACGGUACCUAAACAGAAAGCCACGGCUAACUACGUG